AGAUUGAACGCUGGCGGCAUGCCUAACACAUGCAAGUCGAACGGGAGUAGCAAUACUCUAGUGGCGGACGGGUGAGGAAUACGUAGGAAUUUGCCCUUAAGUGGGGGAUAACCCGGGGAACCCGGAUUAAUACCGCAUGACCUCGAAAGAGCAAAGUGGGGAUCGCAAGACCUCACGCUUUUGGAGAAGCCUACGUCGGAUUAGCUAGUUGGUGAGGUAAUGGCCUACCAAGGCUUCGACGGGUACGCCGGCCUGAGAGGGUGACCCGGCCACGACGUGGGACCUGAGACCACGGCCCAGAUUCCUACGGGAGGCAGCAGUGGGGAAUAGUUGGACAAGUGGGACGAAGCCGUGA
rnacentral:rRNA from 1 species